UUUGGUAAUCCUGUUUUAAAACAGGAUUUUAAACGGGAAGUUGGUGCGUACUGUUUUUUAGCGUGAAUGUUUAAGCAGGCAAUGCCAACACUGCCCCCGCAACGGUAAUCGAGUUAAGACAUUGCAAAAGCCACUGUGGUCAUACAUGGGAAGGCGUAAUGUUGGGAUGAUUUUCCACUCGUAAGUCCGGAGACCGGCCUCAAACAC
rnacentral:ncRNA from 1 species